rnacentral:rRNA from 1 species
AUGGCUGGUGCCCAAGGGUCGACGAUGCCGGCGGCGGCAGCGGAGGCGGAGGCGGGCAUGGACACUGAGCUCUCAUGCGGGAGCUGGGCCCCAAACUUCGGGUUCGCGUUCGAUUCAGAGCGCUUCUCCGACAAGGUGCUGCGGAUAGAGAUCGUCGCCAACGGUGAAGUCGCCGGAGGAGGAUCCCUCACCGAACCGGCAAGCCACCGCGCGGCGAAAGAGAAACAAAUUCAGGAAGCCUCGCAAAGCUCUUGA